rnacentral:rRNA from 1 species
AGACGAAGUUGACUUUUUAGUAAAAAGGCUAAAAUAUUUCUUAUAGACGAGAAGACCCUAUAAAACUUUAUAUUUCAAUAUUUUUAGAAAAAGAUUGAACUAUUUUGCUGGGGCGGCGGAAAAAGGAUCCUUUUUUAAAUUUAAAGAAUAUAAAUCUUAAUAUCUAAAAUUUUUAAAGGAAGAAUAAGUUACUUUAGGGAUAACAGCUUUAUUCAUUUAGAUAGUCCUAAUUGACAAAUGAGUUUGUGACCUCGAUGNNGAAUUAAAAGCCCUUUUUAGUGUAAAAGCUUUUAGAGGAGGUCUGUNC